UCGAGAAUCUUCCGCAAUGGGCGAAAGCCUGACGGAGCGACACCGCGUGCAGGAUGAAGGCCUUCGGGUUGUAAACUGCUGUCAGGUUCUAGGAACCACUUGGCGUAAACAACGCCAAGCUUGACUAAGACCAAAGGAAGCAACGGCUAACUCUGUGCCAGCAGCCGCGGUAAGACAGAGGUUGCAAACGUUGUUCGGAAUUACUGGGCAUAAAGCGCACGUAGGCGGUCCGUUAAGUCAUGUGUGAAAUCCCCCGGCUCAACCGGGGAAUUGCGCCUGAUACUGGCGGGCUAGAGGUCGAUAGGGGUGAGCGGAACUCCAGGUGGAGCGGUGAAAUGCGUAGAUAUCUGGAGGAACACCGGUGGCGAAAGCGGCUCACUGGAUCGAAACUGACGCUGAGGUGCGAAAGCUAGGGUAGCAAACGG
rnacentral:rRNA from 1 species